rnacentral:rRNA from 1 species
GACGAACGCUGGCGGCGUGCCUAAUACAUGCAAGUAGAACGCACAGUUUAUACCGUAGCUUUGCUACACCAUAGACUGUGAGUUGCGAACGGGUGAGUAACGCGUAGGUAACCUGCCUGGUAGCGGGGGAUAACUAUUGGAAACGAUAGCUAAUACCGCAUAAUAUUAAUUAUUGCAUGAUAAUUAAUUGAAAGGUGCAAUUGCACCACUACCAGAUGGACCUGCGUUGUAUUAGCUAGUAGGUGAGGUAACGGCUCACCUAGGCGACGAUACAUAGCCACCUGAGAGGGUGAUCGGCCACACUGGGACUGAGACACGGCCCAGACUCCUACGGGAGGCAGCAGUAGGGAAUCUUCGGCAAUGGACGAAAGUCUGACCGAGCAACGCCGCGUGAGUGAAGAAGGUUUUCGGAUCGUAAAGCUCUGUUGUAAGAGAAGAAACGGGUGUG